rnacentral:rRNA from 1 species
UACGGAGGAUGCAAGCGUUAUCCGGAAUGAUUGGGCGUAAAGCGUCCGCAGGUGGCUGUGUAAGUCUGCUGUCAAAGAGCAAAGCUCAACUUUGUAAAGGCAGUGGAAACUACACGGCUAGAGUGCGUUCGGGGCAGAGGGAAUUCCUGGUGUAGCGGUGAAAUGCGUAGAGAUCAGGAAGAACACCGGUGGCGAAGGCGGCUCUCUGGGACGGUACUGACGCUGAGACGCGAAAGCGUGGGGAGCGAACAGG